AUGUGCCACCCGGGGCUGCCGCCUCUGCCGCCGGGCUGCGCGGCCAGGCGGCGGCCGCGGCCGGCGGGGGUCGUCGCGCCCACGCCCACGCCUUCGCCGCAGCGACAGGCGCACCAGCACCACUACUGCGUGUGCUCGCCCACGGCGCACCGGGGCUCGUUCCGGUGCCGCUGGCACCGCGCCAGCUACGCGUGGGGCAGCGGCCGCGGGAGGGCGGCGGCGAUCGGGGCCGUGCCGUAG
rnacentral:rRNA from 1 species